rnacentral:rRNA from 1 species
UACAGAGGUCUCAAGCGUUGUUCGGAUUCAUUGGGCGUAAAGGGUGCGUAGGCGGCGCGGUAAGUCGGGUGUGAAAUCUCGGAGCUUAACUCCGAAACUGCAUUCGAUACUGCCGUGCUUGAGGACUGGAGAGGAGACUGGAAUUUACGGUGUAGCGGUGAAAUGCGUAGAUAUCGUAAGGAAGACCAGUGGCGAAGGCGGGUCUCGUGGACAGUUCCUGACGCUGAGGCACGAAGGCCCAGGGGAGCAAACGGG